UACGUAGGGCGCAAGCGUUGUCCGGAAUUAUUGGGCGUAAAGAGCUCGUAGGCGGCUUGUCACGUCGGGGUGUGAAAGCCCCGGGGCUUAACCCCGGGUCUGACAUUCGAUACGGGCGGGCGUAGAGUUCGGAGUAGGGGAGACGUGGAAUUCCUGGUGGUACGGUGGAAUGACGCAGAUAUCAGGAGGAACACCGGUGGCGAAGGCGGGUCUCUGGGCCGAUACUGACGUGAGGAGCGAAAGCGUGGGGAGCGAACAGG
rnacentral:rRNA from 1 species